rnacentral:sRNA from 1 species
GCUGGGUGUGGUUGCACAUGCCUGUAAUCCCAGUGACUCUUGAGGCAGAGACAGGAGGAUCUCAAGUUCAAGGCCAGCCCCAGCUAUUAGCAAGGCCUUAAGCAAUAGGGAGACCCUAUCUCAU